rnacentral:rRNA from 1 species
UAAUACGGAAGGUCCUGGCGUUAUCCGGAUUUAUUGGGUUUAAAGGGAGCGCAGGCCGGUGUGUAAGCGUGACGUCAAAUACAGCCGCUCAACGGUUGUCCGCGUCGCGAACUGCACGCCUUGAGUACGCUGCAAGUGGGCGGAAUUCGUGGUGUAGCGGUGAAAUGCUUAGAUAUCACGAAGAACUCCGAUUGCGAAGGCAGCCCGCUGUUGCGUCACUGACGCUGAGGCUCGAAGGUGCGGGUAUCGAACAGGAUUAGAUACCCUGGUAGUCCGCACUGUAAACGAUGGACACCCGCUGUGUGGCCUGUUAUGGUUGCGCGGCCAAGCGAAAGCAUUAAGUGUCCCACCUGGGGAGUACGCCGGCAACGGUGAAACUCAAAGGAAUUGACGGGGGCCCGCACAAGCGGAGGAACAUGUGGUUUAAUUCGAUGAUACGCGAGGAACCUUACCUGGACUCAAAUGUUGGGCGGCCGGACCAGAAAUGGUUCUUCCCUUCGGGCGCCCAGCA